UGUAUGCGUGAGUGUAAGUCACUUUAGAUAACAGUGUCUGCUAAAUGACAUAUA
rfam:Salmo salar isolate Sally breed double haploid chromosome ssa09, whole genome shotgun sequence.